UGAGGAAUAUUGGGCAAUGGAGGCAACUCUGACCCAGCCAUGCCGCGUGAGUGAAGAAGGUUUUCGGAUUGUAAAGCUCUUUCGGGUGUGACGAUGAUGACGGUAGCACCUAAAGAAGCCCCGGCUAACUUCGUGCCAGCAGCCGCGGUAAUACGAAGGGGGCAAGCGUUGUUCGGAAUUACUGGGCGUAAAGGGAGUGUAGGCGGUUAUGUAAGAUAGUGGUGAAAAUCCCAGAGCUUAACUUUGGAAUUGCCAUUAUGACUAUGUGGCUAGAAUUACAGAGAGGAUAGUGGAAUACCCAGUGUAGAGGUGAAAUUCGUAGAUAUUGGGUAGAACACCAGUGGCGAAGGCGACUAUCUGGCUGUAUACUGACGCUGAGGCUCGAAAGCAUGGGGAUCAAACAGGAUUAGAUACCC
rnacentral:rRNA from 1 species